UAACUGUAGUAAUUCUAGAGCUAAUACAUGCCACGAUGCCCUGACCCUUCGGGGGAUGGGUGCAUUUAUUAGAACAGAACCAACCGGGUGCAUUCCUUUGGUUUGCGCCUGUUAUAUUCUGUGAUGACUCUGGAUAACUUUGCUGAUCGCAGUCGGCCUUGUGUCGGCGACGAGUCUUUCAAAUGUCUGCCCUAUCAAUUGUCGAUGGUAGGUGACCUGCCUACCAUGGUGAUAACGGGUAACGGGGAAUCAGGGUUCGAUUCCGGAGAAAGAGCCUGAGAAACGGCUACUAUUUCCAAGGAAGGCAGCAGGCGCGCAACUUACCCAAUCCCAGCACGGGGAGGUAGUGACGAAAAAUACGGAUGCGGGACUCAACAGAGGCUCCGUAAUUCGAAUGAGUACAAUUUAAAUCCUUUAACGAGGAUCCACUGGAGGGCAAGUCUGGUGCCAGCAGCCGCGGUAACUCCAGCUCCAGAAGCGUAUAUUAAAUUUGUUGCAGUUAAAAAGCUCGUAGUUGGAUCUGGGACGCACGGUUACGAGUCAGUUCUUGCAUUUCCAACCUGACCUCGUCGGGCCGGUUAUGUGAGGCGAUUUUGUAGCUGUGUAACCUUUCUGCCGUGUCUGUUCACAGGUGCUGACGGUCUAUACGUUAGCAUGCUUCCGGAUGCUCUUAACCGAGUGUC
rnacentral:rRNA from 1 species